rnacentral:rRNA from 1 species
GAUGAACGCUGGCGGCGUGCUUAACACAUGCAAGUCGAACGGAAAGGCUCCUGCUUGCAGGGGUACUCGAGCGGCGAACGGGUGAGUAACACGUGGGUGAUCUGCCCUGCACUUCGGGAUAAGCCUGGGAAACUGGGUCUAAUACCGGAUAGGACCACAUUUUGGAUGGUGUGGUGGAAAGUUUUUCGGUGUGGGAUGAGCUCGCGGCCUAUCAGCUUGUUGGUGGGGUAAUGGCCUACCAAGGCGGCGACGGGUAGCCGGCCUGAGAGGGUGUACGGCCACAUUGGGACUGAGAUACGGCCCAGACUCCUACGGGAGGCAGCAGUGGGGAAUAUUGCACAAUGGGCGCAAGCCUGAUGCAGCGACGCCGCGUGGGGGAUGACGGCCUUCGGGUUGUAAACUCCUUUCGCUAGGGACGAAGCGCAAGUGACGGUACCUGGAGAAGAAGCACCGGCUAACUACGU